GUCUACGGCCAUACCAACCUGAACGUGCCCGAUCUCAUCUGAUCUCAGAAGCUAAGCAGGGUCGGGCUUUGUUAGUACUCAGAUGGGAGAAAAACUAAACAGACC
rnacentral:rRNA from 1 species